AUGGGGGGGAGCGGAGGAAGUCAGUUAAUCGGGCAUCUGCUCCCCAUCAGGCCGGCAGCAGGGGGGGAAGACACGGGGAGCGAGCCGCGGCCUCACCAGCCUCUUCGAAAUAACCACGUUUGCAAAACCGGGAGCUUUUCACGCGGCCCAGGCCGGAGCUCCGCGGCACAGCUCUGCUUGCGUGCCUGGCUUGCUGCAGCCUUUCCCCCUUCUCUUGCAGACGGCAGCUCGGAGGCGGCGCUGGGUCCCGCGCGCCCAGGCGCUCUCGCCGCGGAUGCUCCCGCCGGCAGCGCGGCCGCCGGGCAGCACGUCCCCGCCACGGCACCCCAGCUCCUCCCGGCGGAGAGCGCCCGGCACGGGCACAGCGACGUCCCGCCGGCGCCCACCACCGCCGCCGAUGCAAAGCCAGCUCCCCCCGGGAAGAAGAAGCCGCCAGCUGUAAAGCAAGUCAAUGCAGCCAGGAAGCACCCGAGGCCCAAACCCACAGUGCCGGGGCCACCCGCAGCCACUGCGCCGCCCAGCCCGGGGCCGCCGACCUCCCCGGAUGAGCCGCGGGCGCCGGUGGAUGCUGCGGCUGGGGCGGGCAGCGUGAAGGCAACCCCGUCUGAGCCACCGCGGGGGGACGGCGGCUCCACCGGCGAGGCCACCACCAGCCCCGCGGUGCUGCAGAUCUCCCCGUCCGCACCGGCCCCGGCGGUCCCCGGGGGCGCGGGAGCCGCGGAGCCGGUGACACCCAGCAGCGCCACCGCCCUUAACAGGACGAGCGGCRCGGAGAGCGGGACGAACGGCUCCGCGUGGGACGAGAGCCAGGAGACCACCACGUCCACCAUCGUGACCACCACGGUGAUAAGCACCGAGCCCACCCCAGGUAGGGCUGCUCCUGCCGGGACACUCGCGCGCAAGCUGGGGAGGGGGCAGGGCUGGGCAGCCGGGGGGGCUCGCUGGGAUAGCUGGGAACAGCUCGUGCUGGAAGCAGUGCCGGCCUGCACCAUCGGCAUUUCUGGGGCAUCCCAAAUCCGCAUCUCAGAGGUGCCAGAGCAGGAGGUCACGGUCCGCGACACGGGACAUGUCCCUGCCCUCUCACUGCCCAUUCCCUGCUCCUGCCAGCCUUUUUCCCUGGAYGCGCUGCAGAAGCCAUCCUGCAGAAACGUCCCUGGAUUUCGGGUGAAAAGCGCCGUUUCCUCGGCCACAUUUCUCCGCCCAAAGACAGAGGUGGAGAGGGUGGAGGCCGCCCGCCCGGUGCGCCGGCAGCCCGGUCGCGGCUGA
rnacentral:lncRNA from 1 species